GAGCGGCAGCACGGGGGCAACCCUGGUGGCGAGUGGCGAACGGGUGAGUAAUACAUCGGAACGUGUCCUUUCGUGGGGGAUAACCAGUCGAAAGACUGGCUAAUACCGCAUGAGAUCUCACGAUGAAAGCGAGGGACCGCAAGGCCUCGCGCGAUUGGAGCGGCCGAUGUCGGAUUAGCUAGUUGGCGGGGUAAAAGCCCACCAAGGCGACGAUCCGUAGCUGGUUUGAGAGAACGACCAGCCACACUGGGACUGAGACACGGCCCAGACUCCUACGGGAGGCAGCAGUGGGGAAUUUUGGACAAUGGGCGCAAGCCUGAUCCAGCCAUGCCGCGUGUGUGAAGAAGGCCUUCGGGUUGUAAAGCACUUUCGGCCGGAACGAAAUCGCCUUUGUUAAUAGCGAGGGUGGAUGACGGUACCGGAAGAAGAAGCACCGGCUAACUACGUGCCAGCAGCCGCGGUAAUACGUAGGGUGCGAGCGUUAAUCGGAAUUACUGGGCGUAAAGGGUGCGCAGGCGGUUGCGCAAGUCAGGCGUGAAAUCCCCGGGCUUAACCUGGGAAUGGCGCUUGAAACUACGUGACUAGAGUAUGGCAGAGGGAGGUGGAAUUCCACGUGUAGCGGUGAAAUGCGUAGAGAUGUGGAGGAACACCGAUGGCGAAGGCAGCCUCCUGGGCCAAUACUGACGCUCAUGCACGAAAG
rnacentral:rRNA from 1 species